GUAACAAAAUAUUAUCACGCAGCUAAAAUAAGAGAAGAGAAAAGAGGAACUGAACACACAAUAUUUUACGUGGAAACCCCUCAACAAAUAAGGGGAAAAAAACCACGGGGCAAGAGUAGAGAACUUUCACUAAGUGGAAGAAAUUACAGGACCUCUCUCUAACUACAAGGAGAGUACAAAUACCACUCUCUCUUAUAAAUAGGAGAAUACUAACUAACACAAACUAGGAGAAACCUCACAGGAGAAACUAUUUUUCCUCUCUAUAUUUUUUCUCUCACUAUCUAAACAAGCUUUACUUGUUCUUGUGUUGUUACUGAUUUGGGAUGAGUAGAAUAAUGCAAGGGACAUGCUAUUUAUACUAGUGAAAGAGCCAUGCCCCAACCAAUUGCAUUUAUGGCAGCAUGUGAAUUUUCAACUUUGCAUAGUAACUUUCCAUGUGAACAUAGAAAUUACAUGCCAACAUGUUUUACUGCCAUGUGAUAACACUUCAACAAAAGUGGCUUUACCACUUUCCUGUGUUCACAAUCUCCCACUUAAAGUCACUUUUGUGAGCUCUCAAAAUCUCUCUACCUUGCCGACUUCGGUUGCUACGUUUCCAAUAGGCCAUACGAGGAUCGACACCAUACAAACUUAUCAGCGUUGAUCGGCUUUGUCAUUACAUCUGCUAGAUUAUCAUUGGUGUGAAUCUUCUGCAUGUCCACACUUCCCUCCUCUACUACUUCGCGAACAAAAUGAUAUUGAACGCCUAUGUGUUUCGUCCUUGAAUGAAAAGCUGGAUUCCUUGCAAUAUGCAAGGCACUCUGACUGUCACAAUACACAGUAAUUUGUUCCUGCUUGUGCCCGAGUUCCUCCAUUAACCUUUGCAUCCAAAUAGCUUCCUUGCAUGCUUGAGUAGCUGCCAUGUACUCCGCUUCUGUCGUUGACAGAGCUACAACCGUUUGUAACUUGGACAACCAACUUACUGCUCCUCCUGCAAGCGUGAACACAUAACCAGUAGUAGAUUUUCUUUUAUCAUGAUCACCUGCAAAAUCUGAAUCAACAUAACCCCUGACAGUUAACUCUGAUCCUCCGAAACAUACCGCAACACCUGAGGUUCCUUUAAUGUACCUCAUGAUUCUCUUAACAGCAUUCCAAUGCUCUUUACCCGGAUCCGCCAUAAACCGACUAACCACUCCCACUGCUUGUGCAAUGUCUGGUCUUGUACAUAUCAUGGCAUACAUAAGGCUUCCCACCGCCGAUGCAUACGGUACUCGAGACAUUUCCAUCCUCUCCGCUUCAUUGCUAGGACUCAUACCUGAGGAUAAUUUAAAAUUCACAGGAAGUGGGGUAGAGAUUGGCUUACAGUCUUGCAUGUUGAAGCGGCGCAAGACUUUCCUUAGAUAAUUCUUUUGAGAAAGCCAAAUCUUCCUGUCUUUUCUGUCUCGGUGAAUUUGCAUCCCUAAAAUCUUGUUUGCUGGUCCCAAGUCUUUCAUAUCGAACUCCCUAGCCAACUGUGCCUUCAAUUCCUGGACUCGAUCUUUGUUGGGGCCUACCACCAACAUGUCAUCCACAUACAACAGCAAAAUGAUAAAAUCAUUACCAUCAAACCUUUUGUAGUACGUACAAUGGUCUGAACUAAGUCUGUUGUAAUCGAGGCUAAUUAUGAAAGAAUCAAAUCUCUUGUACCAACAUCUGGGCGCCUGCUUUAGACCGUACAGAGAUUUGGUCAACCUGCAAACCAAGUUUUCUUUUCCUUGUUCCUUAAAUCCUUCCGGUUGGAGCAUAUAAAUUUCUUCUUCAAGUUCUCCAUGAAGAAAAGCAGUCUUUACAUCUAGCUGUUCAAGAUGUAAAUCCAACGCAGCACACAUCGCCAACACUACUCUGAUAGUAGUAAGUCUGACAACCGGAGAAAAUAUCUCAUUGAAGUCAAUACCUUCUUUCUGAGCAUAUCCUUUUACAACCAGUCUUGCACGAUACCGUUCCACUUGAUCAUUGCCAUCACGUUUGAUCUUGUAUACCCAUUUGUUUCCAAUGGCUUUCCGACCCUUUGGAAGUUCAACAAGCUCCCAUGUCUUGUUCCUAUGUAAGGCCUCCAUUUCUUCAUGCAUUGCUGUCAUCCAUUGAGAAGCAUCCGAACCAUUCAACGCCUCAUGAAAAGUUGACGGUUCACCUUCUUCAGUUAUAAGACAAUAUGCAUCAUGGCUUGUCAUAACAUAGUCUGAUUGCCAAGACGGUUUCUGCGUCUGACGCGUUGAUCGACGAACACCAUCAUUGACAUCAUCUGGUUCUUGUUCUUCGUGCACCGAUUCAGCUUCAGAAGAAUCACUUUCUUUGGAUUUUUCUUCCAUCUGCACUAUAGCAGUCUCUUUAGAAGUGCUGUCAUUUUUCUGCUCACUUUGCAGUUCAUUUUCUGCAAAGACUACAUCCCUGCUAACAACAACCUUGCGGGCAGUGGGAUCCCACAGGCGAUACCCCUUAACAUUGUCAGCAUAACCCAAGAAGAUACAUUUCCUGGACUUUGGGUCCAACUUCGUUCUUUCUUGGGAGUUGUACAUCACGUACACAGGACAACCAAACACAUGCAGAGAAGAAUAAUCUACUGGCUUUCCUUUCCACAUCUCCAUCGGUGUCUUCAAAUCAAUCGCCGUUGAUGGUGAGCGAUUUAUUACAUAACAGGCGGUUUUCACUGCUUCUGCCCAGAACGACUUGGCCAUUCCCGCUGUUUUCAGCAUAGCUCUUGUUCUUUCUAGGAGAGUUCUAUUCAUCCGCUCUGCCACACCAUUCUGCUGAGGUGUAUGUGCAACCGUGAAUUGCCUUACAAUACCCUCUUGUUUACAAAAUGCUAGAAACUCGCCAUCUACAUAUUCUCCUCCAUUAUCUGUCCUCAAGCACUUAAUUUUCUUCCCAGUUUCAAGCUCUAUUUGUGCUUUGAAUGCCUUGAAUACUGGAAACACAUCUGACUUCUUCUUGAUUGGGUACACCCAUAAUCUUCUGGAAUAGUCAUCAAUGAAUGACACGAAGUAUCUUGCUCCUCCCAGAGAUAAUUCUGGUGACUCCCACACAUCAGAAUGUAUCAAGUCUAGUAUGUGUUUGCUUCUAGUAGUUACUCUAGCAAACUUCAAUCUAUGUUGCUUGCUUAUCACACAGUGCUCACAGAAUGGUAAAUUUACUGUCUUGAGCCCGUGAAGGAGAUUGCGUUCCACAAGGACUUUCAAGCCACGUUCAGACAUAUGGCCUAGUCUUUGAUGCCACAUCAUCGUUGUUUCUUCUUGGCUUGCUGCUGCAACUGAUGCAUCCGCCUCUUGCAAUGUAUCUCCCAGAAGCAUGUAUAGAUUACUUGUGAUCUUUUCUGCUUUCAUCACCACAAGAUUGCCUUUCACUACUUUCAAGAUUCCACUUUCAGUGUGGAUCUUACACCCGAGAUCAUCCAAUUGUCCAACAGACAAUAAAUUCUUCUUCAACCCCUUUACAUGACGCACUCCUUGUAUUUUUCUAACAGUACCAUCAUGCAUCUUUAAUCUGAUAGUACCGACUCCAGCAAUUUCUAAGGCAUGAUCAUUUCCCAUGUACACAGAUCCUUCUGAGAUAGGCUCAUAAGAGAAAAACCAAUCUCGGUGUGGAGUCAUGUGCCAUGUUGCACCUGAAUCCAUUAUCCAGACAUCGUUGAGUCGUCUUUCGCCUUUAGAACUGGUUGCUGCUUCACUAUACAGGAUUUCCCCGUCAUCUGAGGUACUUGCAACACAUCCUUGAGAUGUUGAAGCUUCAGAAUUCUUCUCUCCAUUCUUCUUGAUAUUCCAACACUCCUUCUUUACGUGCCCUUUCAUGCCACAACCGUAGCAUUUGAUAUUCUUCUUUCUUCGAGAUUUUGACCUACCAUGAUUUUGACUCCCACUGGGGCCACGUUCCGUUGAUCUGCCUCUCGUCAUCGUCAAAGCCUCUGCUUGCUUUGAACUCUCUGACCUUUCUUCCUUAUUCUUGCGCCUGGAUUCUUCUUCAAGGAUUGCACCGGCGACAUCAUCAAAGUGAAGAGUAUCAGUUAUGUUAUUAUUUGUAAUGUUGAUGAUGAGUUGAUCAUACGAAUCUGGUAAACUCUGAAGUAGAAGUUCAGCACGCUCAUUUUCCGCUAUUUUGAAAUCAGAAGCCGUGAGUUGAGAAAAUAGCGUAUUCAGGGUGUUGAUGUGAUCCGUUACGGAUGUGGAUUCACCCAUUCGAAGAGUGUAGAGCCUUCUCUUUAAGAAUAUUCUGUUGUGGAGUGAUUUGACCUCGUACAAUUUUAUUAGUGUAUCCCAGAUCUCCUUUGCUGUCUUCUUUUCAGCAAUACUUGACAAUACCGAGUCCGCCAUUGCUAGGUGCAAAUUGGCAACGGCAUUAUCAUCCAUCUCUUUCCACUUUUCAUCAGUGAUAUCUGCAGGUCUGCCAUCUAUUGCGUCUAGACAAUUAUCUUUUCUUAAAAUUGCCCUUAUCUUCAAUUUCCAUAGGGAAAAAUUUCUCCCGUUGAACUUCUCUAUCUCAAAUUUCGCUGCCAUGGUUUUACACCAAAUAUUUUUCUUUCAAACUAGACCGGAAUAAUAAGAAUUCUUUUCUGAUGUGGAAGAUCAGUUUAAACCGCAACCACAGAGCAUACUAAGAUUUUUCUUACCACUCCACUAGUUUAUCACAGCGGAAUAACAGCUACGAACCAGCGGCUCUGAUACCACUGUUAGGUACCAGAGUAACAAAAUAUUAUCACGCAGCUAAAAUAAGAGACGAGAAAAGAGGAACUGAACACACAAUAUUUUACGUGGAAACCCCUCAACAAAUAAGGGGAAAAAACCACGGGGCAAGAGUAGAGAACUUUCACUAAGUGGAAGAAAUUACAGGACCUCUCUCUAACUACAAGGAGAGUACAAAUACCACUCUCUCUUAUAAAUAGGAGAAUACUAACUAACACAAACUAGGAGAAACCUCACAGGAGAAACUAUUUUUCCUCUCUAUAUUUUUUCUCUCACUAUCUAAACAAGCUUUACUUGUUCUUGUGUUGUUACUGAUUUGGGAUGAGUAGAAUGGUGCAAGGGACAUGCUAUUUAUACUAGUGAAAGAGCCAUGCCCCAACCAAUUGCAUUUAUGGCAGCGUGUGGAUUUUCAACUUUGCAUAGUAACUUUCCAUGUGAACAUAGAAAUUACAUGCCAACAUGUUUUACUGCCAUGUGAUAACACUUCAACAAAAGUGGCUUUACCACUUUCCUGUGUUCACAGAAAUAGUUUUAACCAAAUGCACGCUAAGAUGUUUGCCUUGUUUAAUGCUAUUACGCUUUCCACAUUUAUAGGUGGUUUGCAUUUGUAGAUUGAAUAUCAUAGAUUGUUUCAAUUCGGGUGUACAAAAAUCGUGAC
rnacentral:lncRNA from 1 species